UUUUUUUUUUUUUUUUUU
rnacentral:misc_RNA from 2 species